GAAAAAAGGCUUCAAGUAAAAUAAGGUUGCUGAGCCACUUUCCUCUUCGAAGAGACUCUCCUAGUCACCUCCGAACCAUAAUUUUCUCUUCAACCUUCUUCCUACAAACGCCACCGUCACCUCCAACAAACGCCGGAGCGAAGCUCACCGUCGCGGAUCGAGACAGCUCUCGCGGAUCCAAGCAUCACCGUCACCGUCACCGAAGCGUUGGCGCCGUCUGGUCGUCGGCUUGGCGUCGUGGUGGUCGUCGGCUUGUCGUCGUCACCGAACCGUCACCAUCACCGAAGCGUUGCUCGUCGUCACCGAACCGUCACCAUCACCGCGUGAAGAAAAGUAACGCUCCUCGCUCACCCAUCUCCCACAUCAGAGAAGAGACUUCACCCAAACCCUAGCAACCGCUCACCCUUACCUCGCCGAGUUACUCCCGUAGGCUAGAGGGUGCGGUCGCUGCCGGACUAGACUCAACCGAGCCUCCCACUUCUCAGGUCGGCAUCUCUCACGUGCAAAGAACCCACGGGCACGUUUGUUUUCUCGCCGGCGCUCUUCUCGGCGUUGCGGUGGUUCGUUCUCUCCUUGGCAUCUUUCCCUCUCUGCCUGCCUGCCUGCCUACCUGCCUGCCCAAGUCCAUAGUGUGGACAGUGCCUCACUCCCUUCGAUCUCCGUUAGUCCGUUUCUUGCCGCCAGCCUCGCCUCUCAACUUCUGUCUCUCUCCGUCUCUCGCCAUCCAUCUCUCAGCCUCGCUGAGUUGUCAUGUUGCCAGAUCUGAAACCUACAUGUUACAGAAAUUCAACAAUGUCAACUUAACAUGUGUGGAUGUGUACACUAAAGACCAAAUUUUGCUUCUUCACGCCAUGUGCUCUCAAAAAGAAUGAUGAAGAACGUGUUGAAUAUACGUACAUAUACAAUGUUAUGCAAAUGUAUGCAUUGGUCAUCAUAAAAAAAGGCAUGCAUGAAAAAAAAGGUGGGAAACAAAAUGAAGCCUGGCUUUUAGCAUUAUAGUAGGAUAGGAUAGGAGAAAAGCUUGACGAUCCCUAACCUCAUGAGUUAACUUUUUGAGGUUGAAUUAGACCCACUCGAUUCUAAUAGGGUGCGUUUGGAAUCUAAAGAAGUUGGGAUUGAUUUGAAUUGAAUUCAUUUUAUUUUGUAUAUCAACAUUGAUGUUUGGAAUAAUUGUAAAAUGAUAAAAUUUGAAUUGGUUUUAUAGAUCAAUUAUGUUUGGAAGAUUAAAUAAUUGUAAUUAUACGUUUUUAUCUUCUCUCUUCGCGCACAAGUUUGCAUUAGUUUGCGAUGCACAAUUGUGCUUGUGUACAUAACAUGCGAUGGCCUCUCUCUUGCUCUUUGGCCUCUGUGAAGUAAGGAUGCACAUAUUCCAUCAUUUAUCUCUGCAUGUUAUUUUGACAUUACUGCAUCUCUCUCUCCCCCACAAUUUUUCAAGAUAUACAUCAUAUUUUUGUAAAGUAUAGAGGUUUUAAUUUAUCUAAACUAAAUCAAUUCAAUUCCCACUAAAUUCCUAGAAACAGAAGGAAUUUCAAAAUAUAAAUGAUUUAAUUCUCCGAGAUUUGUGAAAUCAAUUAUUUCCUUACUUUUAAUAAUUCCAAACACAUGAUUUGAUUUAAAUUAAAUCAUUUACACGAUUCCGAUCACAUUCAUGGGAUAUAUUUAUGGUCCUUAG